ACAGCUCAUGGCAACGCUGGUUCCUUAACCCACUGAGUGAGGCCAGGGAUUGAACCCCCAACCUCACGGUUCCUAGUCGGAUUCGUUUCUGCUGUGCCAUGAUGGAAACUCCCAUUUCCCCCCUUCUUAUUGGUUGUAUUUGCCAGCUUCGUUGCUUGUUUCAUGAUUUUUUUUUUUUUUUGGAUAUCAGUUACUGUGUGGUUCACAUUGUUAAGUGCUGGGUAUUUAUAUUACUAUAUUCAUUCUUAAGCUUUUAUGCCUUGAAAAUAGUCUGAUUCUUCUGGGUCUGGUUUUUAAGCUUUAUUAUGUGGGACUAGAGUAACGUUUAUUCUAGAGUUGGUCUCCCCACUACUGAGGCACAGCCCUUCUGGGCACUCUCCCCAUCGCCCCACACUUUCUGAGGUUUCCUAGCUCUGACCUGCCUCUGUGGGCUCCCCGGACUGUACCCUCACUUCUUCUGGAUGGUUGGAGGGGGUUUUCUCUGUAACAGGGUGGUUCACUCACAUGAUCACACCAUUCAGUGCUCAGCAGAAGACUCAAGCUGGGGCCUCUGCAAAUCUCCUGCAGCUCUUUCCUCUUCUCGGCCAAUCCUCACCUCCUCGGACUCCCAGCUCCAUCUCCUCAGCUCCUGGAGACCUCUGACCUCCACUUGGCUUCACACCCCUGUACCACAGCCUGGACUCUUCCCAGGCCAUAAGCCAGACAACCCCAGGGCCCACCUUGUAUGUUUCUUGCUCUUGGGAAUCACCAACCCUCAUUGCCUGAUGUCCAAUUUUUUAAAAAUUUUUUUUUUCUUUUUAUGGCUGAAUCCUGUGACCUGUGCCUACACCACAGCCGCGCCAACACCAGAUCUGAGCUGAAUCGGCAAACGAGGCCACAGCUCACCACAGCUGGGGAUCCUUAACCCCUGAUGGAGGCCAGGGAUCAAACCCACAUCCUCACAGAUGUUAUGUCAGGGUCUUAACAGCUGAGCCACAACAGGAACUCCUGAUGUUCAAAGCCUUGCAAAUUAUUGUUUCACAGACUCCAUCUGGAUUUGUCAAUGGGAUAAGCAAAGGACAAAAGUGUUUCCUAGGAAGAAAGGAAACACUUUGUAUGGAACAGCCGGAAGGCGAGGGGCUGAGUACCUUGAAGAUGGGAGAGGUGGUCAGAUGUAGCUGAUCUGUGACUGUUUCCGUUUGUGGCAGAACGAACCCCGCCCUGGGCCUUCCCGCAGUAGGUGUGGUACCUCGACAACCUCUCCCCUCUGCGGCAUGGUUGGUGUAGGGGGGGUGCCUGUCUGCCUGGCUAAUCUUGCUUCUUGGGCCAUAGGCUCACCAUGAGUGCCCCUUGUCUAAAAGUUCUGCCCAACACUCACAGCUGAGAGACUGCUAAGGCACCCCGCCCAUCUCUGAGGGGCCUUCCAUCCUGUGUAGACGUCUACACAGGUCUGCCUCCCUUACAACGGGUGUCUUGCUGGCCCAAGAUGGGGAUGGGGGAAAUGGAGGGAAUGUCUUUUUACCAGGUUUGGUAUCAAGCAGGCACACCUCCUCAACAACCUCACUUUUCUGUCCUAAAGGACAGAUUUGUUUCCCACGGCUGGCAAGUCCUGUAAUCCAAAUGCCAGUUCUCUCUUGCCGGCCCCCUAACAGGGGUUGGUGUGGAUGGGGGGGGGGCAUAUUUUCAAACCGUGUUCUAACACACAACCAUGUCAUGGUCCUGAUUUCCUUCAAUAGGAGACGCUCAGGGCCAAACCCAUAGAGUGAAACCCCUGAGCAGAUACCUCGAGGAUCUUCUUUCCACCCUGCAUGGGUCGCACGGAGGAGAAAAAACAUAGACCUAAAUCGAUUAAACCCUUUGCUGGAGCUAUUUGCUCAACCCACAGUCUACCUACAAUGUUCGCUGUCAUUCUUUCUGUUUACUACCAAGUCGAAGGAAAGCAGGAAACCUGAAAACAAAGCAGGUAGUGGAAACGAAAUCCCACAGGCUCUCUGGCAGUGUGCACAGACUGCUCUGGCUCCAGUUCCAAUGCCUCUGAGGACAAGUGUAAGAUGGUCCAGCUGUGGAGCCUAGAUUCAUUAGCGGAAGGGCCACACCCAAGGCAUAAAGAAAUUUCCAGGAUAGCAGUCCAAUCAGAGCUG